rnacentral:rRNA from 1 species
UGCAAGUCGGACGGCAGCACAGAGAAGCUUGCUUCUUGGGUGGCGAGUGGCGAACGGGUGAGUAAUAUAUUGGAACGUACCGAGUAAUGGGGGAUAACUUGCCGAAAGGUAAGCUAAUACCGCAUACGUCCUGAGGGGGAAAGCGGGGGAUCUUCGGACCUCGCGUUAUUCGAGCGGCCAAUAUCUGAUUAGCUAGUUGGUGGGGUAAAGGCCUACCAAGGCGACGAUCAGUAGCGGGUCUGAGAGGAUGAUCCGCCACACUGGGACUGAGACACGGCCCAGACUCCUACGGGAGGCAGCAGUGGGGAAUUUUGGACAAUGGGCGCAAGCCUGAUCCAGCCAUGCCGCGUGUCUGAAGAAGGCCUUCGGGUUGUAAAGGACUUUUGUCAGGGAAGAAAGACUUUGGGUUAAUACCCUGGAGUUAUGACGGUACCUGAAGAAUAAGCACCGGCUAACUACGUGCCAGCAGCCGCGGUAAUACGUAGGGUGCGAGCGUUAAUCGGAAUUACUGGGCGUAAAGCGAGCGCAGACGGUUUGUUAAGCAGGAUGUGAAAUCCCCGGGCUCAACCUGGGAACUGCGUUCUGAACUGGCAGGCUAGAGUGUGUCAGAGGGGGGUAGAAUUCCACGUGUAGCAGUGAAAUGCGUAGAGAUGUGGAGGAAUACCGAUGGCGAAGGCAGCCCCCUGGGAUAACACUGACGUUCAUGCUCGAAAGCGUGGGUAGCAAACAGGAUUAGAUACCCUGGUAGUCCACGCCCUAAACGAUGUCAAUUAGCUGUUGGGGUGCUUGACACCUUAGUAGCGUAGCUAACGCGUGAAAU